AUGUUACUUUUUAUGUUUUGUUUUAAUUUUUCGGAACGAUUGUUUAUCAACAAGCUCUUUUGUUUCUUCAAGGUUGGUCUGGUCUCCGGACCAGUUCUUCACACAAAAUGAUAAUCCUCUGAUAACAUAAUCAUCACCAAGGAAACCGGAGACGAUGUCACAAACAGGAUUAUGACUUCAAGGACCCAGAUUUGCAUCUUUCACCCACUAAAGCUCCCAGCGUGCACCUCUGUGGGCCCCACUCCACAGCAUCAUGCCACACGGACCGGGGGGCUGGCAGCAGUGGGAGGCUGUGUCACCGCCGCUCACAGCAACAGCUGGGGACGAAUUCCCUCGGCUCCACGCGGAAGUCAAGGACUAUAAUUGGGUGUGCUUCAAAACAGUAAUCCCCACAGCUUUCAAACAGCACAAUAAAAAUAAAUUAAUCACCCCGUCA
rnacentral:lncRNA from 1 species